UCGCUCACGCUCUCUGCCCUUUGACUCGCCCUCCCCGCCUCACUCAAGCUCACACUCUCUAGUCUCUUCCUCUCUGCCUCGCCCUCUCCGCCUCAAACAUUUUUCUUCCUCUCCGCCUCACUCAAGCUCACGGGUUUGAAGUAUUGGGUUUUUUUUUUCUUUUUGGGUUUUUUCCUUCUCAUCCUUACGGGUUCUCGGUCUCGCCCUCUAAAGUGCUCUGCUGCUCUCUGCUUCUCGGCUUCAUCAGGUUCUCCAUUCCUUCACUUCACUGGACUUCACUGGCUUCAUCUCAGAUUCUCCAUUCAUGUUCUCGGCUUCAUCUUAGGUUCUCCGUUCU